rnacentral:rRNA from 1 species
AUUCUGGCUCAGGAUGAACGCUGGCGGCGUGCUUAACACAUGCAAGUCGAACGGGAUCCAUCAGGCUUUGCUUGGUGGUGAGAGUGGCGAACGGGUGAGUAAUGCGUGACCGACCUGCCCCAUACACCGGAAUAGCUCCUGGAAACGGGUGGUAAUGCCGGAUGCUCCGACUCCUCGCAUGGGGUGUCGGGAAAGAUUUCAUCGGUAUGGGAUGGGGUCGCGUCCUAUCAGGUAGUCGGCGGGGUAACGGCCCACCGAGCCUACGACGGGUAGCCGGCCUGAGAGGGCGACCGGCCACAUUGGGACUGAGAUACGGCCCAGACUCCUACGGGAGGCAGCAGUGGGGAAUAUUGCACAAUGGGCGCAAGCCUGAUGCAGCGACGCCGCGUGCGGGAUGACGGCCUUCGGGUUGUAAACCGCUUUUGAUCGGGAGCAAGCCUUCGGGUGAGUGUACCUUUCGAAUAAGCACCGGCUAACUACGUGCCAGCAGCCGCGGUAAUACGUAGGGUGCAAGCGUUAUCCGGAAUUAUUGGGCGUAAAGGGCUCGUAGGCGGUUCGUCGCGUCCGGUGUGAAAGUCCAUCGCUUAACGGUGGAUCUGCGCCGGGUACGGGCGGGCUGGAGUGCGGUAGGGGAGACUGGAAUUCCCGGUGUAACGGUGGAAUGUGUAGAUAUCGGGAAGAACACCAAUGGCGAAGGCAGGUCUCUGGGCCGUUACUGACGCUGAGGAGCGAAAGCGUGGGGAGCGAACAGGAUUAGAUACCCUGGUAGUCCACGCCGUAAACGGUGGAUGCUGGAUGUGGGGCCCGUUCCACGGGUUCCGUGUCGGAGCUAACGCGUUAAGCAUCCCGCCUGGGGAGUACGGCCGCAAGGCUAAAACUCAAAGAAAUUGACGGGGGCCCGCACAAGCGGCGGAGCAUGCGGAUUAAUUCGAUGCAACGCGAAGAACCUUACCUGGGCUUGACAUGUUCCCGACAGCCCCAGAGAUGGGGCCUCCCUUCGGGGCGGGUUCACAGGUGGUGCAUGGUCGUCGUCAGCUCGUGUCGUGAGAUGUUGGGUUAAGUCCCGCAACGAGCGCAACCCU